rnacentral:rRNA from 1 species
AGUGAACGCUGGCGGUAGGCCUAACACAUGCAAGUCGAACGGCAGCACAGUAAGAGCUUGCUCUUACGGGUGGCGAGUGGCGGACGGGUGAGGAAUACAUCGGAAUCUACUUUUUCGUGGGGGAUAACGUAGGGAAACUUACGCUAAUACCGCAUACGACCUACGGGUGAAAGCAGGGGAUCUUCGGACCUUGCGCGAUUGAAUGAGCCGAUGUCGGAUUAGCUAGUUGGCGGGGUAAAGGCCCACCAAGGCGACGAUCCGUAGCUGGUCUGAGAGGAUGAUCAGCCACACUGGAACUGAGACACGGUCCAGACUCCUACGGGAGGCAGCAGUGGGGAAUAUUGGACAAAGGGCGCAAGCCUGAUCCAGCCAUACCGCGUGGGUGAAGAAGGCCUUCGGGUUGUAAAGCCCUUUUGUUGGGAAAGAAAAGCAGCAGGUUAAUACCCCGCUGUUCUGACGGUACCCAAAGAAGAAGCACCGGCUAACUUCGUG